rnacentral:rRNA from 1 species
AGGGUUUGAUCAUGGCUCAGGACGAACGCUGGCGGCGUGCUUAACACAUGCAAGUCGCACGGGGGUAGCAAUACCUCAGUGGCGAACGGGUGCGUAACACGUGAGGAACAUACCCUUUGGCGGGGGAUAGCCGGCCCAACGGCCGGGUAAUACCGCGUACGCCCUCCGGGUGGCAUCACCUGGGGGGGAAAGCAGCAAUGCGCCAAUGGAGUGCCUCGCGGCCUAUCAGCUAGUUGGUGAGGUAACGGCUCACCAAGGCGACGACGGGUAGCUGGUCUGAGAGGAUGAUCAGCCACAUUGGGACUGAGACACGGCCCAGACUCCUACGGGAGGCAGCAGUGGGGAAUCUUGCGCAAUGGCCGAAAGGCUGACGCAGCGACGCCGCGUGUGGGAUGAAGGCCUUCGGGUCGUAAACCACUGUCGGGAGGGACGAAGAUCUGACGGUACCUCCAAAGGAAGCACCGGCUAACUCUGUGCCAGCAGCCGCGGUAAUACAGAGGGUGCGAGCGUUGUCCGGAAUCACUGGGCGUAAAGGGCGCGUAGGCGGCCUGGUAAGUCGGGGGUGAAACGCUGCGGCUCAACCGCAGCACUGCCUUCGAGACUGUCAGGCUUGAGCACGGUAGAGGCUGGUGGAAUUCCCGGUGUAGCGGUGGAAUGCGUAGAGAUCGGGAAGAACAUCGGUGGCGAAGGCGGCCAGCUGGGCCGUUGCUGACGCUGAGGCGCGACAGCGUGGGGAGCAAACAGGAUUAGAUACUCUGGUAGUCCACGCCGUAAACGAUGGGUACUAGGCGUCGGGGGGAGCGACCCCCUCGGUGCCGUCGUUAACACACUAAGUACCCCGCCUGGGGAGUACGGUCGCAAGA